rnacentral:rRNA from 1 species
UACGUAGGGUGCAAGCGUUGUCCGGAAUUAUUGGGCGUAAAGAGCUCGUAGGUGGUUUGUCGCGUUGUCCGUGAAAACUCACAGCUCAACUGUGGGCGUGCGGGCGAUACGGGCAGACUGGAGUACUGCAGGGGAGACUGGAAGUUCCUGGUGGUAGCGGUGAAAUGCGCAGAUAUCAGGAGGAACACCGGUGGCGAAGGCGGGUCUCGUGGGCC